UGGGGAAUAUUGGACAAUGGGGGGCAACCCUGAUCCAGCCAUGCCGCGUGAGUGAUGAAGGCCUUCGGGUUGUAAAGCUCUUUUGGCGGGGACGAUGAUGACGGUACCCGCAGAAUAAGCCCCGGCUAACUUCGUGCCAGCAGCCGCGGUAAGGCGAAGGGGGCUAGCGUUGUUCGGAAUUACUGGGCGUAAAGCGAGUGUAGGCGGUUGCCGUAGUCAGGUGUGAAAGCCUUGAGCUCAACUCAAGAAAUGCACUUGAUACUGGGUGACUAGAGGACCGGAGAGGAUAGUGGAAUUCCCAGUGUAGUGGUGAAAAUACGUAGAGAUUGGGAAGAACACCAGUGGCGAAGGCGGCUAUCUGGACGGUUACUGACGCUAAGACUCGAAAGCGUGGGGAGCAAAACAGGAUUAGAUACCCUGGUAGUCCACGCCGUAAAACGAUGGGUGCUAGACGUUGGCGAGCUUGCUCGCCAGUGUCGCAGCUAAACGCGUUAAGCACCCCGCCUGGGGAGUACGGCCGCAAGGUUGAAACUCAAAAUGAAUUGACGGGGGUCAUAGCUGUUUCCU
rnacentral:rRNA from 1 species